AACAGUGAUGAGUCAGUU
rnacentral:snRNA from 1 species